UCAAAUUGUUUCAUUUAGUGAACUUAUUAUUUACAUUAAUAAUUUUGUUGUGCAAUUCAACACGGUUUGAA
rnacentral:tRNA from 1 species